GGCCGUUAGUUUUCUCGUUUGAAUUGUUUUACAUUGUCUUAUCGGGGCCUUUUAUAGCUGACUAUGCGGUAUGGGCUUUGCACAUUGUUGAAGGCCGUACGGUGACCUAUAGUUGUUAUGUCUGUGUCAUUUUAGUCUUUUGUGGAUAGUUGGUCUCAUUGGCAAUCAUACCACAUCUUCUUUUUUAUAUUAUGUUCUCACUCUGUUUGGGUAUCUUAUGCUCUUAACUUUUAACACAAUGAGGCUCUAUUAUGAAAUAAACUACCAAAAUAGAAACAGGCAAAUACUGUCCCUAUUUCAGCACAGUGGUUAAAAUUAAACUUCAUUU
rnacentral:lncRNA from 1 species